UAGCCCGGUUGAGAGACCGACCGGCCAGAUUGGACUGAGACACGGCCCAGACUCCUACGGAGGCAGCAGUGGGAAUCUUGCACAAUGGGCGAAAGCCUGAUGCAGCGACGCCGCGUGCGGGAUGAAGGCCUUCGGGUUGUAAACCGCUUUCAGCAGGGACGAGGCCGCAAGGUGACGGUACCUGCAGAAGAAGCCCCGGCUAACUACGUGCCAGCAGCCGCGGUAAAU
rnacentral:rRNA from 1 species